rnacentral:tRNA from 1 species
GGGCCGGUAGUCUAGCCUGGAAGGAUGCCCGCUUGGCAUGCGGGAGAUCCCGGGUUCAAGUCCCGGCCGGUCCA